UUCUAGUAGCUUGCUGCUGCUAAGGGGUUCUAUCAGACUGUAUAGUAAUGUUACUGAUGAGCAGCAUGAACCUCAAACCCAACCCCUGUUUUUUGCGUACCUAUGUUUCCUCAGCAGAUUAUAUCUGCUGGCUGGACAUUCUUAACAUACUUGAACAUUCAAUCAGCGUCUGAAAAACCUAAUUAUUA
rnacentral:misc_RNA from 1 species